rnacentral:tRNA from 1 species
UUUAUAAUAGUUUAACUUUUUAAAACAUUUCAUUUUCACUGAAAAAAUAUUAAAUUAAUUAAUUUAUAAAU